AAAAAUGUAUUUUACGUUUACUUAGAUUUUUUAGUUUGGCCCAUGUUCCAUCCACUAACAUGGGAGAGGGCGGGGUUUAUGACCUAUACUGCUGCCAGCCACCAGGGGGCAAACCAGAUGUUUUGGCUUCAAUUUGACAGUCUAUGCAGCGAGCCCUGGG